UGACUCCCGCUCCAUGUACCUUCUCU
rnacentral:piRNA from 1 species